rnacentral:rRNA from 1 species
GAUGAACGCUAGCGACAGGCCUAACACAUGCAAGUCGAGGGGCAGCGAGGAUGUAGCAAUACAUUUGUCGGCGACCGGCGCACGGGUGCGUAACGCGUAUCCAACCUUCCCGAUACUCAGGGAUAGCCUUCCGAAAGGGAGAUUAAUACCUGAUGGUGUUUCAAUUCCGCAUGUUAAUGAAACUAAAGAUUUAUCGGUAUCGGAUGGGGAUGCGUGACAUUAGAUAGUAGGCGGGGUAACGGCCCACCUAGUCUACGAUGUCUAGGGGUUCUGAGAGGAAGGUCCCCCACACUGGAACUGAGACACGGUCCAGACUCCUACGGGAGGCAGCAGUGGGGAAUAUUGCACAAUGGGGGAAACCCUGAUGCAGCAACGCCGCGUGAAGGAUGAAGGUUUUCGGAUCGUAAACUUCUUUUAUACGGGAAUAAAACAUCCCACGUGGUGGGUCUUGUAUGUACCGUAUGAAUAAGC